GCACCUGCCAUCAACAUGACAGCAGAUGAUCCUUUGUGGGACCCUCAAGGGUCACAACGGCUGGUAAUGCAGAUUGCUACCACCCCACAGUUCCGGGACAUGAAACUGUCUGCAUCUUGAGACAAGACUAUCAUCAUGUGGAAGCUGACCCAGGAUGAAACUAAUUAUAGUAUCCCUCAGUGUGCUCUGAGGGGUCACUCCCACUUUGUAAGUGAUGUUGUCAUCUCCUCAGAAGGCCAGUGUGCCCUCUCUGGUCCCUGGGAUGGGAUCCUGCACCUCUGGGAUCUUACGACAGGCUCCACCACAAGAUGAUUUGUAGGCCAUACCAAAUACAUGCUGAGUGUGGCCUUCUGACAACCGGAAGAGUGUGUCUAGAUUCCCAAGACAAAACCAUAAAGUUAUGGAAUACUCUGGGUAUAUGCAAAUACACUGUCCAGGAUGAGUCUCACUCAGAGUGGGUGUCUCGUGUCCAUUCCUCACCCAACAGCAGCAACCCUAUCAUUGUCUCCUGUGGCUGGGACAAGCUGGUGAAGGUAUAGAAUUUGGCAAACUGCAAGCUGAAGACCAACCAUAUUGGCCAUACUGGCUAUCUGAACAUGUGACAGUCUCCCUGGAUGGAUCCUUCUGUGCUUCUGGAGGCAAGGAUGGCCACACCACGCUGUGGGAUCUCAAUGAAGGCAAGCACCUUUAUACUUCAGAUGGAGGGAACAUCAGCAAUGACCUGUGCUUCAGCCCUAACCGCUACUGGCGCUGUGCUGCCACCAGCCCCAGCAUCAAGAUCUGGGACUUGGAGGGCAAGAUUAUCGUAGAUGAACUGAAGCAAGAAGUUAUCAGUACCAGCAGCAAGGCAGAGGCUCCCCAGAGCACCUCUAUGACCAGUCUGUUUGCUGGCUACACAGAUAACUUGGUGGGAGUGUGGCAGGUGACUACUGGCACCCGCUAGAAAUGUGUCAGCUUUAA